CUUCUACUCCAAGGAUAUUGGUGCCUCAAACUACCCAUGCCAUCCUCUUUCUCCUCUGCUAUUUCUAUCAGAAAACCAGCAAUUUUUGACUCUCUUUUUUUAUCAUAUGGGGCGGCAACUUUAUAUAAGUUGGACUAGGUCAUAAAACCUAGUCUAAUAAGGAGUCCAUGGGGCGUCCAACUCUUAGAUGCCCCUUUCUUUAUCUAAUUCAUGGAGAGCAUGAAAUCAAGCAUAAAAAGGGUGACAAAAUGAAAGGAUAGGCUUGGAGGAAGUUGGCACA
rnacentral:lncRNA from 1 species